rnacentral:lncRNA from 1 species
GGGCCGGGCCGGGCGGUGACGGGACCGCUUUGAGCCUCGCGCCGCGCCUCGUGGGAGCCCCCGCCGGACUGGCUGCAAACGGCUCCGCUGCGGAGCUCAGGCUCCAGACAAGAAGCUCCAGCUGCUGCUCCUCUCUCUCUGCUUGCUGUCACCCCAGGCAAAGGAGUGAGCUGGUGUUAGCAGAAGGUGCCUGAAAUAAAGUAGCAGGAGGAGGUCUCUGGGAUAAAGAAGUGAAUCCAAGGGACCCACAGGGAGUGGAGUGAACUACUGGAUUGGAGCCGUUCUCAUAAAACGCUGAUGAUGACAACCUGGGGAAUUAGAAAAGUACCUCUGAGAAGAGAAACGGAGUGGCAGGAAGCCUAGUACUGUCUGUUUUCAGCUAUGCCUUGCAGUGUGUCCAGCAAGUCCAAGAAAGAAUCAGUUCUGCCUCACAGCCAGUCCACAGCAAUGGCUCUAGUGGUUAUGGAAGUCUUGGUAGCAGUGGAUCUUAUGAAUACUAUAUCAGCAUAGCAUCUUCCAGUGACUCCAAUGGAAAUUGUGUAGAAGAAAUACGAAAACCAGAUGACUCUGUAGCAGGUCUGUGCCAACAUCAGUCAAAUAAAGAAUUUGGGGCAGCAGUUGUAUAUUGA